GGCAGUUAAACGGUCACACUGGAAGCUCUGAGAGUCAGAAAGGGCUUGGAUGCGCUCCUGACAGGAACAGUUAGGGCGAGUGCUAGGAUCUCUAGUGAGAGUCUCUGGAUCGGCGGGUUGGAUAUUGGGAGUCAGAUUGCCUUGUGAACAUCCAUCCUCUCAACUCCAAUGAAUGCACAAUGCAAUAAUAAGUGUUCGAUGGUGGGACCAUGAUCAUUUGAAUCACUUGCCCUAGCUCCAACCCAAGGAACCUAAAUAAAGCCAAGCAAUGGAAUCACAGUUCUCAUUCUCAUGCCCAGCAGUAGCACUGGCAGAUUCCUGUACAUCAUGGAUUUCCAAGGUGUAAUGACAGACCCUGCAGCAGUUACUCAGUGCUUUUCACUAUGGAACACUUCCCCAAAACACAGCUUGAUAAAAUAAUAGAGACUUGUCUCAAUGACAGUGUGGUUUCUAACAUCUUCAGCUACAAUUCUGCUCUUGCCAUCACAGUAAUUGAAAUGAUGUUCUUCCCUCUCAGGACAAGGGCAGAUGUACUGCAAUUUAUUCUGCUGAGUUUUCUCUGCCUUCUUCUUUGCUGUCAACUAACCGGCCCCAAAAUUAUUAAGUGUUGAGUAGGAAUUCAAGUUGUAAGAAAGCUGUGUGUCGGCUACUGGGAGGAAACUGCCCGGAAUGCAAUCCAGGGAACAACUGAAAAGACUGUCACCAUCAAUGAAAAGGCACUCCACUCUAAGCCAGGCAGGAGGAAGCCCCAGCACUUCGGUUCCUUGGAGACCACCAGAGCAGACAAACAUCUGUGGAGCAAUAGGUGAGUUGAAGACUUGAACACUACUGCAGAGGGGAGGUUCAGGGAGGUUUAAUAGAUGACAACAGAUCACUACCAGAUCAUCAGUUACAGGUGAGCAACCUGUUUAUCUGGGGCGUGAUCAGCUGAAUCCAUUAGAAUGGUUGUUUAGUUAGCUCCUUUAGGAGAAAGAAGCAGUAUUGUCACUGUAACACCCUUUUGAGAACACCUCUCCCAAAAUUUGCCUCCGCUGCAGAAUGCAAAUCAAUGGCAUAGUGCUUUAUGAAGGGCUGUUCUGAGGACCAGGUUGCAGCCCUACAAAUGUCCUGAAAUGAUAUGCCAGAUAAAUGAGCUGCCGAGGCACUGUAAGCUCUGGUUGAAUGUGCCCUGAUAGACUUAGGCAGCUGUACUUUUUGUAACUUGUAAGUCAUUAGGAUUGACUCUCCAGUGGAAUAGACAAGGCCUGACCCAUACAACUCUCUUUGUAGGAUAUGAACAUUUUUUUGGUAUUUCUAAUCAUUUGUUCUUACAGGUAGAAUAGAAGAGCCCUUCUGACAUCCAGGGAAUGCGAGGCCUUUUCAAGAGCUGUGUCCAGAGUGCUGAAGAAGGUGUUGUGUGACGCCUACCCGACCUUGAUGACGUUGCACAGUCUAUCACCAGGGAGUCUGGUACAGGAUGUUUCAAUAAAUCCAGACCCAAUGCAGACACCAUUUCUAUAAGCUGAACGUGAUAAGCCUUCAUUUCUUCUGAGGGAGACACAUGGGAAGGCGUUGCCACAUCAGGUGAUGGGUCUGGAACUCACUCAGAAACACAAGGAACCAGAACGAGGAGCCACAGAAACCAAAGAACCGAUGCCUACAGCAGUCACAAAGGAACUGAAGUGCUGGUGCUUCCUCCCACUUUAAAUAGCUAUGUGGUCAUGUGGGGUGGGGCACAAGUACCAAGAGGAGCUGUGGUACUCCACACCGACAGGCUUCAGCGCAGGCUGCAGAGCCCAUUCUAAUGGAUUCAACGGAUCACGCUCCAAAUCUUGAAGUUAUGCUAGAAUAUGACACAUUUAAUUUACUUACUUACUAUAUUUCUAUUCCGCCUGACAUGUGCAUCAUAGGCAGUAUACAUAAGUUAAAAUAAAACAAAUCUAAAAACAGACUAAACAAUUAUGAUUAAAACAAUUAUGAUAUAAAACCAGUUAAGAUAUUGAUAACAAUGCUCUCCCGAGGAAAUAUUGGACCCUCUUCAUGUACCUAACAGCAGCAGCAAGACUGAUAUUUGCACGCAAAUGGAAAGAUAGUCAAUGCCCAUCUAAAGGGGAUUGGAUCCUUAAAAUACUAGAAUUGGCAGAAAUGGCGAAAUUAACAUCACUACUAAGAAAUAAAUUUGAAGAUUUCAAAAAAGAAUGGGACCCUCUUCUUGUCUAUUUAAAAAUACACCAUAAAAUGGAUUUUUCUCAGGCCUUUGAGGGCUAUUAACAAAUGUGUCAAAAAUAUUCUUAAGUUUAUAUGAUUUAUUGAGGAGAGAAUGUUUAAUCUACAGGCAAGAAAUGGUUAUUGUCAAUAACACUUGUUCCAAUGAUUGAGAAGGAAGUCUUCAUCGUAUGUCUUCGUGAAUGUUUGUAUAAGUUGUGUUUGUCCUUUUGUGUUGUGAAACCUGAAUAAAAAGUAUAUUAAGAAAAAAUUAAUUAAAAGCUUGA